CCUCCCGACUUCCUCCUCCAACGAAAGCACGAGGAAGAAACCGUACCAAACGUCGUCGUUUCGAGGGAUGGGUUGCUAUGCCGCAGCAGCAGCAGCAGCUCAAGAGGUUUCUGUUCCCUCCGUCAUUCGCUACUCCGCGGAUUUGGAUGCCAGAAUUAGAAAAGAUAAGAAGAAGAAGAAGCAUAAGCAUAAGAAAAAGAAAAAGAAGAAUAAAGGAAGCUACGAAGAUGGUUCGAUUAGGAUUUUAAGCGAAGAAGCUAGAGACGUUAUUGAUGUUUGGUGCAGACCUGGAUUAGGCUUCUCCACGGAUGCUGUAAUUGGUCGAUCGGUUGAUCCUCCUCGGGGAAGGAAUAUUCCGUCGUCUCGUCGCAAAAUUGAUGUGGAUAACAACAAUUAUAAUCACACACUGGUAAAUUGAUCUAAAGUUGGAUGAUGAAUUUAGUGUUAUUAUGUUAUUGACUUUGACUUUGAGGAAAUGGUAUCGUUUAGGCAGAAACUGUGUGGAGUGGUUGGAGCUCUAGUGGUUGUAGUUAGCUCUAUGCCAAUUGCUGGGCCAUUGUUAGUUUGGUUUGGUUUAUUAAUAUAUGUGUUUGGAUUCUCGUUUAGACAAAUCAUAAGGGUCUACUUUAGAUGUAGCGGUUCUCUAUUAUUAGUUUUUGUUUCAUGUGAGGAUAAUAUAGAAAAUUUCUUUGUUUGACGUGCGGGUGGUUCUUUUGGGUUUGAUGCUCAAUAAACUAAUCGAACUCUGGUUUGGUUAGAGAAUGGAAUCUUAUCAUGCUUUUGUCUCGUUUAGCUAGAGGAUGGAAUCUUAGCAUUGUUUAAGUUUCUUUUUGGUUGGAUUCAAUUGGUUAGGGGAGUUGUUGGAUUUAUUUUGAUCAAAGAAACGCAUUGCUUCAGAGGACUUGAAAAUUAGGAAUCUA
rnacentral:lncRNA from 1 species